UAAUUCAGGGUUCUCUUCAUUGUCGGUAAAUCUUUUGUCUUUUAUUAAAGAUUUCUGGAGAGAGGAAUGCUAGUUAGUCCAAUGUAUUUUUGCAGGCUUUGUUCUAGUAGAGCU